rnacentral:tRNA from 1 species
GGACGGGUGGGUGAGUGGUUAAAGCCAACAGACUGUAAAUCUGUCCCUCCUUGCGAGGUACGAAGGUUCGAAUCCUUCCCCGUCCACCA